AUUGAACGCUGGCGGCAUGCUUUACACAUGCAAGUCGAACGGUAACAGGUUAAGCUGACGAGUGGCGAACGGGUGAGUAAUGCAUCGGAACGUGCCCGAUCGUGGGGGAUAACGCAGCGAAAGCUGCGCUAAUACCGCAUACGAUCUGAGGAUGAAAGCGGGGGACCGUAAGGCCUCGCGCGAUCGGAGCGGCCGAUGUCAGAUUAGGUAGUUGGUGGGGUAAAGGCUCACCAAGCCAACGAUCUGUAGCUGGUCUGAGAGGACGACCAGCCACACUGGGACUGAGACACGGCCCAGACUCCUACGGGAGGCAGCAGUGGGGAAUUUUGGACAGUGGGCGAAAGCCUGAUACAGCAAUGCCGCGUGCAGGAAGAAGGCCUUCGGGUUGUAAACUGCUUUUGUACGGAGCGAAAAAGCUCUCUCUAAUACAGGGGGCUCAUGACAGUACCGUAAGAAUAAGCACCGGCUAACUACGUGCCAGCAGCCGCAGUAA
rnacentral:rRNA from 1 species